UAGUGUGCGAGGUAAAGGUUCCUUUUGUCUCGUGUCUUUUUCUUCCCUAAAACUAAACGAGAGCACGCGGACGCCGCAGCAGGUGUUGCGGUUAGACCCGUUCGUGAGCUAGGAGAUGUAUUCGCCGAGGGGAGGUGGUAGGGGAAGGAAAGGAGAAGGCGGAGGGGGAGGACCGGCGGCGGAAACGGGGGGGAGGGCGACGGCGCCGCGGCGGCGGCGGCCUGCGUAGGCUAAGAGGGCGGCGGCGGCGGCGAGGGCAAGAACCGGCGGCGGGGGAGCAGUCGUUAGAGCCUGUAAGCAGAAGCUCCACCAUCGCAAUGUACUAACUUGUCAUGGGAUGUCAUGAAGGGUCUGAUUAAACGACACUAAGUGAACCGGUCUAUUUUGGGACCACACUAAGGAGACUUCAAAUCGUAACAGAGACGAAACUCUUCUUUAUUGAAGUAGAGAUGCAUCUCGUGACCUUCUACCUAGCAUCUCUAUGAAGUCCCAAACAGUCGCCACCAACGUUUCUAUUGUACAUGACGAUUUACGGAAUCCAAAAGAUUGAACCAUCAAGCAACUGGUAAUAAAUUGGGCCUUCACUCCGUUCGAACCAGUGACUAUUGUUACCUAGGGUCCGGACCCGUCAGUCGUAAAUGAUAUUCAAAGAGUUUAGGUUCCCGGUAACACUCGUUCAAGGGACAGCAGGGUCAUCGGUCAGUGGGGUGUCUGUCAUUAUCAGUUGAACUACCCGUUCGAGUGCCAAUAGACAUGUUGGUUGGUUCUCCUUGGUUCUCCUUCAAACUACCGAACAGCGAACCAGACCCGUUGAGUAGUUUGAGUCUAAGGUCGUUCGUUUCAUACGCACGACCGACGUGGUAUAGAAGAGGAUUCCCAUCACUACUUCCAAGAAGACAACUAAACCCGAAUUUAAUAGAAUGCGACCCGUCACUUCCAUGAAGGUCCGACCUAUUCGUCCGAUCACUAAAAUUCUCUUGAAGCCGCUUUCGACCCGACCUAGAACUCAAUAGAAACAGACAACCUGGUACAGUUAGACGAUAAUGACCUGUUCUGGAUUGAAGUCGUUGGUUUGUCUUGUCGUGUAAAGACGUCGGUAUGUAAUACCUGAAUCAGGGUUCUCAACUGCUUCCAAGAUGUAGAGAAGCAGCUGGCAGACCACCAGUCAAGGAAAGAAAGGAAUUAUUCUGACGUUACUACUGACCCAAAAGAGACUCCGUUCAAAAUAGUCCGUCGAGAUUGGUCUCAGUCCCAGGUCGAAGUUACGGUUGUAACGAGGUUGAUGUUCUUUCAGGUCGCUGGACAUGAAGGCCCAGACAAUCAGGUGUUGUAGCGUAGUCGUCGUGUUUUCAAACAAGUAUAGGUCCUACAUCUUUUCCCCGGUCUCCAAGCAGUCCCGCGACGUAACGUGUACCACCCCCCUCUUCCACGGCAUUUCUCCCUACGUUGUUUCCGCGGCUCCCGUUCUGGUAGAAGACAUUUCGAGUACCUCCCCCUGCCGCGACGCCCGUGGAACCCACGUGGUUCUCGCGACUUCCGGCGUGACUAAUGACGUAUCCGGUACCACCACCAGCCGCAACAUAGGUACUGCCGACGUCUUCUCGCCGUUCUCCCUUUAGACCGGCGACAUAGUUUGUACCACCACCCUUUUCCACAGUUGUCCUCUUGACGUGUUUCUCGCGCCUUCCCGCAAGUCCGAAUACGUAACGGGUACCUCCGCCUGGAGCGACAGUCGUACGACCAACGUGCUUCCCGCGGGUCCCUUCAUGACUAAAGACGUUUAGCGUACCACCACCGUCUUCUACGUGCGUGGGACUGACAUGUUUCCCACGACUCCCUUCGUGCGGUAAGACGUUUCCCGUACCUCCUCCGUUUGCAACAAGCCGAGUUCCGACGUGUUUUACACACGUGCCUCCAUGUGUCAAGACGCAACGCGUACCUCCACCGUUCUCCACACACCACCUUCCUACGUGGUUCUCGCGAGCUCCAGCAUGGCUAGCGACGCAACCAGUACCACCCCCGUUCUCCACGUAUAGACGACCCACACUAUUCUCGCGUGUCCCUUCGUGGCUGAAGACGUUCCGUGUGCCGCCCCCGUUUGCGACGUGCACCCCGGUGGGUCCCAGGCUGGAGCCUCGACCGUCAGGAGGGACACUGGCGGAACGUUCUCCGUUCUUUCCGUACACGCAAGUAGUGUUGGGCGACGACCUACUACUGGCAUAGGUGCCACCGGCUUGCGACCGGCGAAAGUCGUAAUGUUCGUCGCGACGAAGGGAACUAGCAGCCUCGGUGGGACGUUUGAGGCUUUGGUCGUCCGCGUCGUAGAGGUACGAAGGUCACCUCCGAGGGCCAGCACGCGGAGAAGGGCUCCCGGCCCACGUGCCGCCAUUGUAGCACAGUUACAAACGAUUACCAGACUCGAAGCCCCUCCUGAGGUCGUUGUUGCGACUCCGGUCAUGGAGCCGCGGAGCGUCGAGGUUUGGACGGUUCCUUAAGUCGCGGAGACCAGCGUCGUCGACCGAGAUCGCGGGUUCCGAAAGGAGGACGGGCUGUAGGCAAAGCUGUGCCAAGCAAAGCAGACCGUUCAUAGAGGACGAGGACAGGAUACCACACUUCUUCCGACGCCAUACUAACACACUUCACAACAGAAUGAAUACCUAAACAUACAUAAUUGAUGGGGAGACAUUCUAUCUAUAUUUAUUUUUCCCCAACCCACACCUUCACAAUUAAUUACAAUCCAGAACACAACUUCUUCCACUGGAAGACCUAGGAAGAAGACAAGGUUUUUUUUUCAACACACACAUCAUGUCACCAGACAAUGUCAAUACGUACUUCUUUAAUCAGUACACACUCCAAGGAGGGUAGUCAACCAAGCGGAUACCUUGUAAACCAACAUCAUUUAUAACUUCAACGGUACGACAACAUAUGUUUGUAUAUAACACACACACAUUUCAACCAAAACAGGGUAGACUUGUUAUUCUUUCAAUACCAACACUACCAACGACAUAGAGGGUAGGAGACACGG
rnacentral:rRNA from 1 species